CAACCUGCCGACAACACUGGGAUAGCCUUUCGAAAGAAAGAUUAAUACCGGAUGGCUUAAUUAUUCCGCAUGGGAUAAUUAUUAAAGAAUUUCGGUUGUCGGUGGGGAUGCGUUCCAUUAGGCAGUUGGCGGGGUAACGGCCCACCAAACCUACGAUGGAUAGGGGUUCUGAGAGGAAGGUCCCCCACAUUGGAACUGAGACACGGUCCAAACUCCUACGGGAGGCAGCAGUGAGGAAUAUUGGUCAAUGGACGAGAGUCUGAACCAGCCAAGUAGCGUGAAGGAUGACUGCCCUAUGGGUUGUAAACUUCUUUUAUACGGGAAUAAAGUGAGCCACGUGUGGUUUUUUGUAUGUACCGUAUGAAUAAGGAUCGGCUAACUCCGUGCCAGCAGCCGCGGUAAUACGGAGGAUCCGAGCGUUAUCCGGAUUUAUUGGGUUUAAAGGGAGCGUAGGCGGGUUGUUAAGUCAGUUGUGAAAGUUUGCGGCUCAACCGUAAAAUUGCAGUUGAUACUGGCGACCUUGAGUGCAACAGAGGUAGGCGGAAUUCGUGGUGUAGCGGUGAAAUGCAUAGAUAUCACGAAGAACUCCGAUUG
rnacentral:rRNA from 1 species